CUUUUUGUGCAGGAAAGAACCAAGAAAGGUACUCACACGCUCAUCAAAGAAGUUCAAGCGUUCCAAAAUUACUUUGAAACUUCCUAUAGGUCCGAUGAUCUUAGUUGAACUAUCCGCGAAGCAGCUGUCACACUAAAGGAAACAUUUUUAAAGAAAAUGGAGCAUUUGAAAAUCCCUUCGUACAUUCCUCUCGAGAAACGCUACGUAAUGGAU
rnacentral:lncRNA from 1 species